GACGAACGCUGGCGGCGUGCUUAACACAUGCAAGUCGAACGGAAAGGCCCUGCUUUUGUGGGGUGCUCGAGUGGCGAACGGGUGAGUAACACGUGAGUAACCUGCCCUUGACUUUGGGAUAACUUCAGGAAACUGGGGCUAAUACCGGAUAGGAGCUCCUGCUGCAUGGUGGGGGUUGGAAAGUUUCGGCGGUUGGGGAUGGACUCGCGGCUUAUCAGCUUGUUGGUGGGGUAGUGGCUUACCAAGGCUUUGACGGGUAGCCGGCCUGAGAGGGUGACCGGCCACAUUGGGACUGAGAGACGGCCCAGGCGGCUACUGGAGGCAGCAGUGGGGAAUAUUGCACAAUGGGCGGAAGCCUGAUGCAGCAGCCCCGCGUGCGGGAUGACGGCCUUCUGGUUGUAAACCGCUUUCGCCUGUGACGAAGCGUGAGUGACGGUAAUGGGUAAAGAAGCACCGGCUAACUACGUG
rnacentral:rRNA from 1 species